GGCGGCGUGGCCGAGUGGUUAGGCAGAGGCCUGCAAAGCCUUGUACACCGGUUCGAUUCCGGUCGCCGCCUCCA
rnacentral:tRNA from 1 species